rnacentral:rRNA from 1 species
AUGGUUGUAACCCUGUGGGCUAUAUGGGGUGCGAGAAGGAAGGCGAUCCACGAAGAAAUUUUGCAGUCACCACAUGCAACCCACGGGUUCAUCGCUUCGUUCUUAACAGAGCUACAGACUGUAAGUUCGAAGAGCCCUAAGCAGCAGGCCAUUGCCCGACAGCCGGUGGUGUCUUCUUGGAUCGCUCCAGUAGAUGGAAGUGUGAAGAUAAACGUGGAUGCUUCGGUCGCUAGGGCGAGAUGCGGAUCAAUUGCCGCUAUUUGCAGAGAUCAGUCGGGAGCUUUUUUGGGUGCAUCGGGUCUAGUCUUCAGGAAUAUUUUGGACCCUCCAACACUUGAAGCACUUGCCAUCAGGGAAGCGAUGGCAUUAGCUGAUGAUCUUUAUGUUCAGAAUAUUCAAAUAGGGUCAAACUGCAAGGUGGUGGUGGAAGAUAUCCAGAAGAGAAACUUACCUAGCUACGGUGCAAUAGUUCAAGAGAUUUUAGAUCUUUCUCUUUCUUUCAAUUUCUGUAACAUAGUCCAUGAACGUAGGAGCUCCAAUUUUGAAACUCACAAUUUGGCGAAGCAUGUACGUACGCUCGGUGUUGACCGCCAUGUUUGA